rfam:Ictidomys tridecemlineatus contig087421, whole genome shotgun sequence.
GUGGAUGUAGCUCAGUGGCAGAGUUCUUGCCAAGCAUUCAUGAGCACCUGGGUUCAAUCCCCAGCAUCACACA